rnacentral:rRNA from 1 species
GGCGUGCUUAACACAUGCAAGUCGAACGGAAAGGCCCUGCUUUUGUGGGGUGCUCGAGUGGCGAACGGGUGAGUAACACGUGAGUAACCUGCCCUUGACUUUGGGAUAACUUCAGGAAACUGGGGCUAAUACCGGAUAGGAGCUCCUGCUGCAUGGUGGGGGUUGGAAAGUUUCGGCGGUUGGGGAUGGACUCGCGGCUUAUCAGCUUGUUGGUGGGGUAGUGGCUUACCAAGGCUUUGACGGGUAGCCGGCCUGAGAGGGUGACCGGCCACAUUGGGACUGAGAUACGGCCCAGACUCCUACGGGAGGCAGCAGUGGGGAAUAUUGCACAAUGGGCGGAAGCCUGAUGCAGCAACGCCGCGUGCGGGAUGACGGCCUUCGGGUUGUAAACCGCUUUCGCCUGUGACGAAGCGUGAGUGACGGUAAUGGGUAAAGAAGCACCGGCUAACUACGUGCCAGCAGCCGCGGUGAUACGUAGGGUGCGAGCGUUGUCCGGAUUUAUUGGGCGUAAAGGGCUCGUAGGUGGUUGAUCGCGUCGGAAGUGUAAUCUUGGGGCUUAACCCUGAGCGUGCUUUCGAUACGGGUUGACUUGAGGAAGGUAGGGGAGAAUGGAAUUCCUGGUGGAGCGGUGGAAUGCGCAGAUAUCAGGAGGAACACCAGUGGCGAAGGCGAUUCUCUGGGCCUUUCCUGACGCUGAGGAGCGAAAGCGUGGGGAGCGAACAGGCUUAGAUACCCUGGUAGUCCACGCUGUAAACGGUGGGUACUAGGUGUGGGGUCCAUUCCACGGGGUUCCGUGCCGUAGCUAACGCUUUAAGUACCCCGCCUGGGGAGUACGGCCGCAAGGCUAAAACUCAAAGGAAUUGACGGGGCCCCGCACAAGCGGCGGAGCAUGCGGAUUAAUUCGAUGCAACGCGUAGAACCUUACCUGGGUUUGACAUGGAUCGGGAGUGCUCAGAGAUGGGUGUGCCUCUUUUGGGGUCGGUUCACAGGUGGUGCAUGGCUGUCGUCAGCUCGUGUCGUGAGAUGUUGGGUUAAGUCCCGCAACGAGCGCAACCCUUGUUCACUGUUGCCAGCACGUUAUGGUGGGGACUCAGUGGAGACCGCCGGGGUCAACUCGGAGGAAGGUGGGGAUGACGUCAAGUCAUCAUGCCCCUUAUGUCCAGGGCUUCACGCAUGCUACAAUGGCUGGUACAGAGAGUGGCGAGCCUGUGAGGGUGAGCGAAUCUCGGAAAGCCGGUCUCAGUUCGGAUUGGGGUCUGCAACUCGACCUCAUGAAGUCGGAGUCGCUAGUAAUCGCAGAUCAGCAACGCUGCGGUGAAUACGUUCCCGGGGCUUGUACACACCGCCCGUCAAGUCAUGAAAGUUGGUAACACCCGAAGCCGGUGGCCUAACCGUUGUGGGGGAGCCGUCGAAGGUGGGACUGGUGAUUAGGACUAAG